ACGCCAAGGAUGACGUCGAUUAAAAAAUGAGUUUCUACGUUUAAUUAGAAUCAAGAAAAUGGCUGCAUUUAUUUACUGUCUGAUAUGGCGCCGCACCUCAACUUUAGCAUAGCCUAUGAAGAAGCGUCAUGUUCCUGCAAUCUAAAAAGUACCGAGCCGAAACAUUUUCUCCGAACAUCCCCCUAAGAAACUCAGGGGCAAGGUGUACUGGAUAUUUACCCUUUACCCAAAGAAUGCCUUCCACCAGGAGGAAAGAGCAAGAGUGGUAGACGAUAUCUUAGAGACGCCUAUUAUUCCCUCUGACGAUGAGAAGCUGCAAUAUGGGGUGUAUUUGAAAGAGUUUACAAAGAAGACGGAAAAGAUGCAAUCCCAUGCGAAAAAAGUCGUAAAGGUGUACCGAGCAAUAGCUAACAAACUUGAUCAAGCAUGAUGGGACCGCCGCCUGGUUAGCUCAAUUGGGAGAGCGCCGGACUGCUGUG